rnacentral:lncRNA from 1 species
GUCUCGGGCACUAAUGGAGUGGAAGGACAAAUACAAAUUCAAAAUUGCUGGGAAAGUGUUUUACUACAUGUAUUUAUAUUUAGUUGGGCAUAGAAGCAGGAUAGCUUUUGCUUUUGAGAUAUGUUGUAUUUAAACAUAUUUUCAUGAGCACUGUGCCAAUCAGUUAAAAUUCACUGACUUGUUAGGCUUGUCCUUUGAAAUUGGAAGUGUUGCCACUAUUUAUUGGUGCCAGAGGACAUGAGCGCUGGGCCAUGUUUGCCUGUACCCCUGCUUACACCUGGGUUCACUUCACGACACACGGACUACUGCUUUACUCAGGUACGACCCGGCGGUAUUACAGUAUAAAUUAACAGAUCCCCCCGACAACUGUCACAACAAACAUUUAAGUGUUUAUGUCGGCACACCAGCGCCCGUUUGUGUUUAUGAAGCUGCUGCGUUUAUUUUCCAAUCAAUGCGUUACGGCGCUAAUGUGACUUGGCAGGUUUUUGCCAGAUUUUAUGUCAGUUCUAAGACACGCACAAUAAAAUGCAGACGUCUGAGAAACCUCUCUGCCGCCGUUUCUUGUUUUCCGCGGCAUAGCAUUAACUAACACAGUUGCAGCUGCAGCUAGAACAAACGGAACAGGCUUCCUGUCUUAUGUAUCCACGGCAACCGAC